CUGCUGCCUUCCGUAGGAGUCUGGUCCGUGUCUCAGUACCAGCGUGGGGGACCUUCCUCUCAGAACCCCUACGCAUCGUCGCCUCGGUGGGCCGUUACCCCGCCGACUAGCUAAUGCGCCGCAUGCCCAUCCCCCGCCGGAAUCGCUUCCUUUGGCCGCAGACCCAUGCAGGUCCGCGGCGUUACGCGGUAUUAGUCGGGAUUUCUCCCGGUUAUCCCCCUGCGGGGGGCAGGUCGCAUACGUGUUACUCACCCGUGCGCCGGUCGCCGG
rnacentral:rRNA from 1 species